rnacentral:rRNA from 1 species
UAAGACGGAGGAGGCAAGCGUUGUCCGGAAUCAUUGGGCGUAAAGAGCGCGUAGGCUGUUUUCCAAGUCAUAUGUGAAAACCUCAGGCUUAACUUGAGGACUGCAUAUGAAACUGGAUAACUUGAGUGCAGUAGGGGAAAGUGGAAUUCCUGGUGUAGCGGUGAAAUGCGCAGAUAUCAGGAAGAACACCGGUAGCGAAGGCGGCUUUCUGGGCUGCUACUGACGCUGAGGCGCGAAAGCUAGGGGAGCAAACAGGAUUAGAUACCCUGGUAGUCCUAGCUGUAAACGAUGGACACUAGGUGUGGGGAGUUAUCGACGCUUUCCGUGCCGGAGCUAACGCAUUAAGUGUCCCGCCUGGGGAGUACGGUCGCAAGACUA